UACGGGGGGGGUAAGCGUUGUUCGGAAUUACUGGGCGUAAAGGGCUCGUAGGCGGCCAACUAAGUCGGACGUGAAAUCCCUCAGCUUAACUGGGGAACUGCGUCCGAUACUGGAUGGCUUGGAUUUGGGAGAGGGAUGCGGAAUUCCAGGUGUAGCGGUGAAAUGCGUAGAUAUCUGGAGGAACACCGGUGGCGAAGGCGGGUCUCUGGGCCGAUACUGACGCUGAGGAGCGAAAGCGUGGGGAUCAAACAGG
rnacentral:rRNA from 1 species